rnacentral:lncRNA from 1 species
ACAUUUCACUAUCUGAAGAGCAGAAAAUGUGUUAAUAGGAGCCUGGUGAGUGGAGGAGACUGAAGAUGGAGAGAGAGCCUGGACCUCAACAUGAGCAUCUGGAGCCAUUUGGCAGCAUUAGGCUGUGACCGCUUAGAGAACCGAAAGGUGCAGAGCUUUAAAGGAUUAUGGAGUCUGAAGACCAAAUGGGAUGAUGGAGAACAGCUAUUCAGUGGUACAAAUGUAAAUGCUCCCAGGCCCGGGCAGAAAAGAGAAAACAUUUCCAUGGAAGAGGAAACAGGAAAUUCCAACAGAUCAGCAACAGUUGGAGUGCUAACCUGUCACUGGAAUGGGAAAAAAAAUGCUGUCGUUGACACAUCUUUUCCUUGUUUUUGACACAAAUUAGAAGACAGAGAUGAAGAAAAGAAGGAAGUGGAGGCAAUGAGGAAAGGAGGGAAGAAGGAAGGAAGGAAAUCAUGCUUGAAAGAAGUUGUGGAACAUGUCAAGUUUUUUUCCGGAUGUGGCGGAGAUUAUGCAGCUACAAUGAAGCCAGAUUAAGAUUUCAGGAAAAUGGACAGAUCUCUACAAUGUUCUCCAAAGAGAUUGUUUUGCUUGCCAAUAAAAAGAGACACCUGGGAGCACCAUACUCUCUCCUGUUCCUCUGGGUAUCAUAUUUCCUUAUGACACCUGAAACUCUGAUGCCUUCUGGGUCCAUGAAAGCAGUGAGAUGAGCACAGGAAACCACGCUGAGGAUGGUUGAGCAAAAAGGUGACAUUGAGCCACUGGAUUAACCUGCCCAGAAACAGGAUAUCUUCAGAUUUCUUGUUAAGUAAGAAAAUGUAAUUUUGUUGAUUCUAAGUUACACUUUCUUUUGUUAGUUCAACAUCUCUGAAAUCAGAACAUAUUUUGCCAUGGUAAUAUCUUACCAUCACUGUAAUAUGUAAUAUCCUUACAUAGGUGUCAUUGCCUAUGCAUGUGUCAACUUGAUUGCUAUUCUCUGUGAUAUGACUGACAACUGCAGCCCUUUGACAGUUCAGUCGACAAACCAUUGAAGAUUAUUAGGGUAAGAAAUACUGCUUUCUGUCUGAAAACUUUCCAAUGACAUCUUCUGAAAAGACAAAGAAAGUAUCAGCAUCAAAAUUUGCGUAAUAGGCCGGGCGCGGUGGCUCACGCCUGUAAUCCCAGCACUUUGGGAGGCCGAGGCGGGCGGAUCACGAGGUCAGGAGAUCGAGACCAUCCCGGCUAAAACGGUGAAACCCCGUCUCUACUAAAAAUACAAAAAA